AGAAAAAUAUUAUGAAACUGAAAACAUGCCAAAAUAAUCUAGAAAGAAGCAUGCUUCAUAUAAAAAAACAAGACAAAGUCAGACUCUCUACUAUCCGAAGCAAGACCAAGGUCAGAGAUGUGGCAGUAACAAUUAAGAAGCUUAAGUGGAAGUGGACAGGACACUUCAUGCGGGAUAAAAGGGAUAAGUGGACCAGGGAUGUCGCCCCUGCCAAAGAUGGGAGGAUGACCUCAGACAGACAGCAGGAGACACAUGGAGAAGGAAAGCAAGAGAUAGAGAAAUAUGGAAGUGUCUGGAGGAGGCCUAUGCCCGAGGGCAAGCUGAAGAAAUGAAUCAGUGUCAAUGAUAUGUUGUAAUAAUAUUUUGUUUAUAAAUUCAGCAAAUAAAGGCUUUAUUAUUAUUAUUA